AGAGUUUGCUUCUGGACUCAGGAUGAACGCUAGCGGCAGGCUUAACACAUGCAAGUCGAGGGGCAUCGCGGGUGGCAACACCCGGCGGCGACCGGCGAACGGGUAAGUAACGCGUGAGCAACAUGUCCUCAGUCGGGGGAUAAGCGAGGGAAACUUCGUCUAAUACCCCAUAACACUUUCAGGCGCAUGCCUUUAAGUUGAAAGCUUUUUUUGCGACUUUGGUUUGGCUCGCGUGACAUUAGCUAGUCGGUGGGGUAACGGCCCACCGAGGCCACGAUGUCUAGGGGUUCUGAGAGGAAGGCCCCCCACAUUGGGACUGGGACGCGGCCCAAACUCCUACGGGAGGCAGCAGUGAGGAAUAUUGGUCAAUGGACGGAAGUCUGAACCAGCCAUGCCGCGUGAAGGAAUGGACUUCCCCUUAUGGUUGUUAAAACUUCUUUGGCAGCAAGAGGCAAUAAAGGGCGUACGGGUAACCCGAUAGAGAAUGUUGGAUUAGGCAUCGGCUACUUCCCGUGGCCAGCAGGCGCGGUAAUACGGAGGAUGCGAGCGUUAUCCCGGAUUAUGGGUUUAAAGGGUGCGUAGGCUGUUUUGUAAGUCCAGCGGUGAAAGACCGGGGCCCAACUCCGGAAGUGCCGGUUGAUACUGCAUUGCUAGAGUUCCCCUGCCGUGGGAAGGAAUGAGUGGUGUAGCGGUGAAAUGCAUAGAUAUCACUCAGAACACCGAUUGCGAAAGGCAUCUCACGAAGAGGCAACUGACGCUGAGGCACGAAAGCGUGGGGAUCAAACAGGAUUAGAUACCCUGGUAGUCCACGCUGUAAACGAUGAUGACUAGCUGCCGGCGAUACACUGUCGGUGGCCCAGCGAAAGCGAUAAGUCAUCCACCUGGGGAGUACGACCGCAAGGUUGAAACUCAAAGGAAUUGACGGGGGCCCGCACAAGCGGAGGAACAUGUGGUUUAAUUCGAUGAUACGCGAGGAACCUUACCCGGGCUCGAACGGCAGACGACUUAUACAGAGACGUAUAUUCCCUUCGGGGCGUCUGUCGAGGUGCUGCAUGGUUGUCGUCAGCUCGUGUCGUGAGAUGUUGGCUUAAGUGCCAUAACGAGCGCAACCCUUGUCGUUAGUUGCCAUCAAGUGAUGUUGGGGACUCUAGCGAGACUGCCACCGCAAGGUGUGAGGAGGGAGGGGAUGACGUCAAAUCAGCACGGCCCUUACGUCCGGGGCGACACACGUGUUACAAUGGCGGUUACAAAGGGAAGCCACCCGGCGACGGGGCGCUAAUCUCUAAAAUCCGCCUCAGUUCGGACUGGAGUCUGCAACUCGACUCCACGAAGCUGGAUUCGCUAGUAAUCGCGCAUCAGCCACGGCGCGGUGAAUACGUUCCCGGGCCUUGUACACACCGCCCGUCAAGCCAUGAAAGCCGGGGGUGCCUGAAGUUCGUGACCGCGAGGAGCGACCUAGGGCAAAACUCUUGGGCUAAGUCGUAACAAGGUAACC
rnacentral:rRNA from 1 species